GUAGGUGGCAAGCGUUGUCCGGAUUUAUUGGGUUUAAAGGGUGCGUAGGCGGUCUAUUAAGUCAGUGGUGAAAUAUCGCAGCUUAACUGUGAGGGUGCCAUUGAUACUGAUGGACUUGAGUGAAGUCGAAGUAGGCGGAAUUGACGGUGUAGCGGUGAAAUGCUUAGAUAUCGUCAAGAACACCGAUAGUGAAGACAGCUUACUAGGCUUAUACUGACGCUGAGGCACGAAAGUGUGGGGAUCAAACAGGAUUAGAUACCCUGGUAGUCCACACUGUAAACGUUGAUGACUCGCUGUUGGCGAUAUACAGCCAGCGGCCAAGCGCAAGCGAUAAGUCAUCCACCUGGGGAGUACGCCGGCAACGGUGAA
rnacentral:rRNA from 1 species